rnacentral:lncRNA from 1 species
AAGAUAAUUAGUGUGAUAUGUACUUUGUAUCUCAGGUAAUAAUUAAAAAAAAAAAAAAAAUUACAUUACGCCCUCUUUGUAUAUGGAAGAAGAAGUGGAAGCCCGUGGGAACCUACAGCGACAAAACAAAAGAACAUUCAGACUUUGCACAAAAUAGAAAUCCAGCACAAAAGGGGGAAAAUAUUUUGAACCACAAGACGGUGUGCGACCAUAGUCUGAUUUUGUAUUUGAUAUAAUUUCCUACGGAGACACACACGCUGGAAAUUUCUGCUCUUUCAAAGGAAAAUAAAAAAAAUCUAAGGAAUUAUCAUAUCUUAUAUAUAUAAAAAGUAUAUAUAUAUAUAUAUAUAUUUGCAUUUAUUUGCUUACCAAAUUUUUGUAGUCCAGGCAAUACGGCGUGCAAUGUAUUAUAUAUAUAAAUAUAUAUAAAUAUCUCAUCGAC